rnacentral:rRNA from 1 species
GACGAACGCUGGCGGCGUGCUUAACACAUGCAAGUCGAACGGAAAGGCCCUGCUUUUGUGGGGUGCUCGAGUGGCGAACGGGUGAGUAACACGUGAGUAACCUGCCCUUGACUUUGGGAUAACUUCAGGAAACUGGGGCUAAUACCGGAUAGGAGCUCCUGCUGCAUGGUGGGGGUUGGAAAGUUUCGGCGGUUGGGGAUGGACUCGCGGCUUAUCAGCUUGUUGGUGGGGUAGUGGCUUACCAAGGCUUUGACGGGUAGCCGGGCUGAGAGGGUGACCGGCCAAAUUGGGACGGAGAUACGGCCCAGACUCCUACGGGAGGCAGCAGUGGGGAAUAUUGCACAAGGGGCGGAAGCCUGAUGCAGCAACGCCGCGUGCGGGAUGACGGCCUUCGGGUUGUAAACCGCUUUCGCCUGUGACGAAGCGUGAGUGACGGUAAUGGGUAAAGAAGCACCGGCUAACUACGUG